rnacentral:tRNA from 1 species
AGGAUUAUAGUUAAUAAUAACAUUUAGGUUGCAUCUAAAAAGAAUUGAUCAAAUCAAUUAAUCUU